GAUGAACGCUGGCGGCGUGCUUAACACAUGCAAGUCGAACGGAAAGGCCAGUGCUUGCACUGGUACUCGAGUGGCGAACGGGUGAGUAACACGUGGGUGAUCUGCCCUGCACUUCGGGAUAAGCCUGGGAAACUGGGUCUAAUACCGGAUAGGACAAUGGUUUGGAUGCCGUUGUGGAAAGUUUUUUCGGUGUGGGAUGAGCUCGCGGCCUAUCAGCUUGUUGGUGGGGUAAUGGCCUACCAAGGCGUCGACGGGUAGCCGGCCUGAGAGGGUGUACGGCAAGAGGGGGAAAGAGAAAGGACCCAGCUACAGAGGGGAGGAGGAAGGGGGAAAGGUGGAAAAAGGGGGGAAGGCUGGAUGAGGGGGGGCGGGGGGGGGGAGGGGGGCUUUGGGGUGGGAAACUCCUUUGGGAGGGGAGAAAGGGAAUGUGGGAGGGUACCGGAAGAAGAAGCACGGGAAAACUAAGUG
rnacentral:rRNA from 1 species